rnacentral:rRNA from 1 species
AGGAAAAGAAACCAACAGGGAUUGCCUUAGUAGCGGCGAGUGAAGCGGCAAAAGCUCAAAUUUGAAAUCUGGCACUUUCAGUGUCCGAGUUGUAAUUUGAAGAAGGUAUCUUUGGGUCUGGCUCUUGUCUAUGUUUCUUGGAACAGAACGUCACAGAGGGUGAGAAUCCCGUGCGAUGAGAUGUCCCAGACCUAUGUAAAGUUCCUUCGAAGAGUCGAGUUGUUUGGGAAUGCAGCUCUAAGUGGGUGGUAAAUUCCAUCUAAAGCUAAAUAUUGGCGAGAGACCGAUAGCGAACAAGUACAGUGAUGGAAAGAUGAAAAGAACUUUGAAAAGAGAGUGAAAAAGUACGUGAAAUUGUUGAAAGGGAAGGGCUUGAGAUCAGACUUGGUAUUUUGUAUGUUACUCUCUCGGGGGUGGCCUCUACAGUUUACCGGGCCAGCAUCAGUUUGGGCGGUAGGACAAUUGCAAAGAAAUGUGGCACUGCCUCGGUAGUGUGUUAUAGUCUUUGUCGAUACUGCCAGCCUAGACUGAGGACUGCGGCUUCGGCCUAGGAUGUUGGCAUAAUGAUCUUAAGUCGCCCGUCUU